UACGUAGGGUGCAAGCGUUAUCCGGAAUGAUUGGGCGUAAAGCGUCCGCAGGUGGCUGUGUAAGUCUGCUGUCAAAGAGCAAAGCUCAACUUUGUAAAGGCAGUGGAAACUACACGGCUAGAGUGCGUUCGGGGCAAAGGGAAUUCCUGGUGUAGCGGUGAAAUGCGUAGAGAUCAGGAAGAACACCGGUGGCGAAGGCGCUCUGCUAGGCCGCAACUGACACUGAGGGACGAAAGCUAGGGGAGCGAAUGGG
rnacentral:rRNA from 1 species